rnacentral:rRNA from 1 species
AUUCCAGCUCCAAUAGCGUAUAUUAAAGUUGUUGCGGUUAAAAAGCUCGUAGUUGGAUUUCUGUUGAGGACGACCGGUCCGCCCUCUGGGUGAGCAUCUGGCUCGGCCUUGGCAUCUUCUUGGUGAACGUAGCUGCACUUGACUGUGUGGUACGGUAACCAGGACUUUUACUUUGAGGAAAUUAGAGUGUUUCAAGCAGGCAUACGCCUUGAAUACAUUAGCAUGGAAUAAUAAGAUAGGACCUCGGUUCUAUUUUGUUGGUUUCUAGAGCUGAGGUAAUGAUUAAUAGGGAUAGUUGGGGGCAUUCGUAUUUAACUGUCAGAGGUGAAAUUCUUGGAUUUGUUAAAGACGAACUACUGCGAAAGCAUUUGCCAAGGAUGUUUUCAUUA